GACGAACGCUGGCGGCGUGCUUAACACAUGCAAGUCGAACGGAAAGGCCCUGCUUUUGUGGGGUGCUCGAUUGGCGAACGGGUGAGUAACACGUGAGUAACCUGCCCUUGACUUUGGGAUAACUUCAGGAAACUGGGGCUAAUACCGGAUAGGAGCUCCUGCUGCAUGGUGGGGGUUGGAAAGUUUCGGCGGUUGGGGAUGGACUCGCGGCUUAUCAGCUUGUUGGUGGGGUAGUGGCUUACCAAGGCUUUGACGGGUAGCCGGCCUGAGAGGGUGACCGGCCACAUUGGGACUGAGAUACGGCCCAGACUCCUACGGGAGGCAGCAGUGGGGAAUAUUGCACAAUGGGCGGAAGCCUGAUGCAGCAACGCCGCGUGCGGGAUGACGGCCUUCGGGUUGUAAACCGAUUUCGCAUGUGACGAAGCGUGAGUGACGGUAAUGGGUAAAGAAGCACCGGCUAACUACGUG
rnacentral:rRNA from 1 species